rnacentral:rRNA from 1 species
UACGGAAGGAGCAGUGGGGAAUAUUGCACAAUGGGCGCAAGCCUGAUGCAGCCAUGCCGCGUGUAUGAAAAAGGCCUUCGGGUUGUAAAGUACUUUCAGUCGUGAGGAAGGUGUUAAGGUUAAUAACCUUAGCAAUUGACGUUAGCGACAGAAGAAGCACCGGCUAACUCCGUGCCAGCAGCCGCGGUAAUACGGAGGGUGCGAGCGUUAAUCGGAAUUACUGGGCGUAAAGGGCACGCAGGCGGUUAAUUAAGUUGGAUGUGAAAUCCCCGGGCUUAACCUGGGAAUGGCAUUCAAGACUGGUUAGCUAGAGUCUUGUAGAGGGGGUAGAAUUCCAUGUGUAGCGGUGAAAUGCGUAGAGAUGUGGAGGAUACCGGUGGCGAAGGCGGCCCCUGGACAAAGACUGACGCUCAUGUGCGAAAGCGUGGGGAGCAAACAGGGAUUAGAUACC